rnacentral:rRNA from 1 species
CAAGUUGCGCCCGAGGCCCUUCGGCCGAGGGCACGCCUGCCUGGGCGUCACGC